CCUCUGCACGACUGCUCUCCCCCUCCCUUCACCACUGGUCUGCCCGAAUGUCCCUCAGCUGAGAGGAGUUUCUGGAAAGUUAACCUUGUUCAGUGUUUCCACAGAGGCAAGCACCAGAAACGGAUGGACUUUGUUUCCCAGCCAGCAAAAGCCAAAAACGGCCAUGUUCACGCCACUUCACAGAGGACCGUUUACUAAACAAGAGAAAGUAGGAAGCUGGCUAUGCGGCUAAGCUAAUGCUAACAGACGGUGUUGUUCCAUUAAUACAAGCUCGUGUGGAGGACUCCGAAGCACAAGCUCAAAUACCUUCAACUGCAAAACUUCCCAAAAAACAAGAAGAGACAAUGCACUGCAAAUCCUGUGGAAACAAAGCCAACAUUCAAGUAUGACAAUGACCUGAGGAGGCCUCUGUUUGAGGAGAUGUUGGAGGAGCCUUGCAGAUACACAGAUAAACUUAAAGAAAUCCCCAUCCCAGAAAAUCUCUGUGUCCAGUUCCAGAGAAUGUCAGAGAAAGAGGUCAUUACAGGACAAGACAUCAUAACAAGAAGGGAUGACGAUCCUCACGUCUUCCCAGAUUUUGCUGAAUCCAGUGUGGAAAUUCACCGAUGAAGACAAGUAUGACCUGUGAACCUCGUUGGGGGUGUGCAGUAAAAGUAACGUGUUAGAGUAGUCCAUUACAUUUAAGCAGUAACUGUAUAACAGAUGUGUGGUAUUAUUAUGUGCAGUAACAUGUUACUACCUGAUAGAAAGUGGUGAUAUUUUCUCUGCAUUUUUCAACCUUUUGACAUUUUUAAUGCCUUGUUGGACUUUUGCAGUUUUCUGGGUGAAAAUAAUGCAAAAGUAGUGUUAUGCAUUACUCUGCACGGGAAGUAAUAUUGUAAAGAAACUUCCCUUUAAAAUGACAGUUACUAGUAAUAUGUACUGCAUUAUAUUUUGGAAGUUACUUGCUCAACACUGCUUGAGAAAGUUCAAAAGAACAAACUAUUAAUCAUAUUUGCUUGUAUUUUUUUCUCUUCCAAUGUUCUUAUGGAUA